rnacentral:rRNA from 1 species
UGGGGAAUUUUGGACAAUGGGCGCAAGCCUGAUCCAGCAAUGCCGCGUGUGUGAAGAAGGCCUUCGGGUUGUAAAGCACUUUUGUCCGGAAAGAAAUCCGUCUGGCUAAUACCCGGACGGGAUGACGGUACCAGAUGAAUAAGCACCGGCUAACUCCGUGCCAGCAGCCGCGGUAAUACGGAGGGUGCAAGCGUUAUCCGGAUUCACUGGGUUUAAAGGGUGCGUAGGUGGGUAUGUAAGUCAGUGGUGAAAUCCCCGAGCUUAACUUGGGAACUGCCAUUGAUACUAUAUAUCUUGAAUACCGUAGAGGUAAGCGGAAUAUGUCAUGUAGCGGUGAAAUGCUUAGAUAUGACAUGGAACACCAAUUGCGAAGGCAGCAUACUAUGCGGUGAUUGACACUGAGGCACGAAAGCGUGGGUAGCAGACA